CAAUGGGGGAACCCUGAUGCAGCGACGCCGCGUGGAGGAAGAAGGUCUUCCGAUUGUAAACUCCUGUUGUUGAGGAAGAUAAUGACGGUACUCAACAAGGAAGUGACGGCUAAAUACGUGCCAGCAGCCGCGGUAAAACGUAGGUCACAAGCGUUGUCCGGAAUUACUGGGUGUAAAGGGAGCGCAGGCGGGAAGACAAGUUGGAAGUGAAAUCUAUGGGCUCAACCCAUAAACUGCUUUCAAAACUGUUUUUCUUGAGUAGUGCAGAGGUAGGCGGAAUUCCCGGUGUAGCGGUGGAAUGCGUAGAUAUCGGGAGGAACACCAGUGGCGAAGGCGGCCUACUGGGCACCAACUGACGCUGAGGCUCGAAAGUGUGGGUAGCAAACAGGAUUAGAUACCUGGUAGUCCAAGGGCGAAUUC
rnacentral:rRNA from 1 species